rnacentral:tRNA from 1 species
GGGGCUGUGGAUUAGUCGCAGAUCGUUCGCUUGGCAUGCGAAAGGCCGGGGGUUCAAUUCCCCCCAGCUCCA